UACGUAGGUGGCAAGCGUUGUCCGGAUUUAUUGGGUUUAAAGGGUGCGUAGGCGGCAAAAUAAGUCAGUGGUGAAAGCCGAUCGCUUAACGAUCGAACUGCCAUUGAUACUGCUUUGCUUGAGUACAGUUGAGGUAGGCGGAAUUGACAGUGUAGCGGUGAAAUGCAUAGAUAUUGUCAAGAACACCAAUUGCGUAGGCAGCUUACUAAAGUGUUACUGACGCUGAGGCACGAAAGUGCGGGGAUCAAACAGG
rnacentral:rRNA from 2 species